ensembl:snoRNA SNORA62 Small nucleolar RNA SNORA62/SNORA6 family
UGUUCACAUUGUUGGAGCUUGGAGUUGAGGGCAUUGACUGGCAGAUGAAUGCUCAAAUGUAGGUAGUAUGCUACCCAAGGGACAAGUUUUUCACCAACACCACAAAGGUCUCUGGCUUGAGUGGGGUUGGAUGGUAGUCCUUGCUACGAGU